GCCUCCGUAGCUCAGUGGCCAGAGCGGCGGUUUUGUAAACCGCAGGUCGUGGGUUCAACUCCCACUGGAGGCU
rnacentral:tRNA from 1 species